UUCAGAUUUUAAGACGGCAGACAAAAAGUCAUGGCUUCUUCUCUGAUCUUUCAACACUUUCUCCCAAUUUUACCCCCAAUUCAGUGUAUCGCCUACAAAGAAAUCUUCAGCCAGCCGAACGAACAAGAAUGCAACCAUUCAUCAAUGAAAUUUUUAUUACAAGCCGAUCAUGGAGCGGUGAGGGUUUAAUCGGAGCACCAAAGUCCCUCGGGUAAAGGUCAGUGAUAGGACAGGACGAUGGCAGUGGUAGGUAGUGAAAAAUCGAAGCCUCAACAGUGGCGGCUUUAGGGUUCCUUCAUAAGUCAGUCGGGGGCGGUUAGGAUUCCGGCAGAGGAAUCCUCAGAUGGUGAAGUUGAGGUUUGGUAGUGACUAUGGUGGUGAUUGCUGGUGAUUACAGGAAGUGGAUCCAUGUGAAGAAUUGACUGAUGAUGAUGUUCGAACUGCCAUACAGGAUGCAUCAGGUCCUAGAUCUGCCUUAUUUUACCAGAAGUAGGUCUUACUCUUAAUUUAUAAGUUUUUAAUCAUAUUUGGCUACUUAGUAUCUCAUAUGCUUGAUGUAUUCUUUUACAUGCUUGAUGUAUUCUUUUACAUGCAUUUCAUCAUGUAUGCUACGCCUAAUGCGAAGAAGCGGACAUUCAAGGUUUUGAGCGCAACGACCACAUUGUGCCUAGCGAUUAUGCUUAUGUUGUACUUCUUCUUGGAUGGAUCAAUUCGGAGUGUAGUUGUGGGAUGGAUUUGUGCUGCACUUUCGUGGAAAGUUGUGAAAACUAAAAGUGUUGAAUUCAUGCCGUUCCCAUUGUCAUGUCUACUCACGCUAUGCGCAAUGAUGUGGUUCGCAUACGGGGUAUACACCAAGGACCUAUGUGUUAUGGUGCCAAAUGUGUUGUGGUUUAUAUUGGGAGUAAUUCAAAUUGCAUUAUACAAAUAUUACAAAUAAAAGAGCAAGAUGAUUAGCAUCCCAGAAAUCAAGCUGCCAGAACAUGUUAUAAACAUAAAGGCGUCCCACUCGGAAGUGUAUCCAGUUGAUUCUAGCCGAAGCAGUGACAGUGAGAUAGAAGAGGAAGAAAUUGAAACUAAGACGACGGAGGGUGGUGGUGGAGAGGUUGUGGAGCGAUACAAAAGUGCGGUGACCGCGAUGGCGAUGGUGGAUGAUGACCCUUGUAGGGUGGAAGUAGUGAUUUGUGGGCGUAAGUCGCCGGAGCUCUGCCAUUCUGAUCUUUACCCAUACGACCAGCCAUUGGAUAAAAGGUAUCAAGAACAUCUACAAGCGCCUUCUUCAUGACAAGAGGAUCAAAGAAGUUGGAGCAAACGAUCGGACGGUAGAAAUAAACGGUUGAAAUAUGGGGGUUUAUUGGUGUGUGAGAGAGGGGGAGGGCUGUCCUAAACGUCGAGACCCUGACGUUGGCGACGAAGCUGGACCGACGACGGAGGGCAUGAAAUGGAGAGGGGGGCGCCGCCGUACCGGGACGCGGCGGGGACGAACCCCGUACCGCAUAGCCUUAUAUAAACAACGUAAGGUUGGUGUUAGUUUGGAUGAGGAAAAGAAGAUUGGUGAGAAGAACAGCUCGGUUUCAGAUAAAGCGAGUGAUGGGAACAGCAGCCUUGGGAAGACGAGCGGGAGCGCGCCUGUCGAUUUUGUGGAGAGUGGGAAGAGUAGUAUGUGUAGAGGAAGCACAAGCAGCAAUGUGAGUGAUGAAAGCAGCUGUAGUAGUUUCAAUAGCAGUAUCAACAGGCCGCAUGAGUCCAAUGAUAUGCGAUGGGAAGCUAUUCAAGUGGUUCGAGCGCGAGAUGGGGCGUUGGGUUUGACCCAUUUCAGAUUGUUGAAGAGAUUAGGGUGUGGUGAUAUUGGUAGUGUUUACUUGGCUGAGUUGACCGGGACGAAAGCGUAUUUUGCUAUGAAAGUUAUGGAUAAAGCGUCUUUAGCUAGCCGUAAGAAGCUUUUUCGAGCUUAAACCGAGUGAGAGAUUCUGCAAUCGUUGGACCACCCGUUUCUUCCAACGUUAUACACUCAUUUUGAGACCGAUAAGUUUUCGUGUUUGGUGAUGGAGUUUUGUCCCCGAGGUGAUUUGCAUACUCUCAGGCAAAGACAGCCCGGGAAACACUUCACCGAGCAGGCUGUCAAAUCACGUCUAAUGAUUCGGUACUGCGUGAAGAUAAAGGUGAAAAAGAUGCGUUUGACGAUUUGAAGAAGGAGCUUGAUAAUAUGGAAGCUCAGUAUCUUUGCUGGCACAGUAAACUACAAAAGUUUAGAGAAGCAACAAUUGAAGAUGCAAAGAGGAAAUGGAAUUUGAAGAACAAAGAUGCAAGGAGUUUGUUUGAACUUCAGAGUCUCGAUGAGAAAAACGACAUCCGAUUCAAAGAUGAAAGGAAUGAAGAGAACACCGUCACGUUACCCUUGAGAAUAGCAUAUUGCUUGACAAGUUAUAGCUAGAAGGUAGUCUUGCCUGAUGCAGGUCAUGUUCCCACUGCGUACUGUUGACUCCGCCGCAACGCGCGGGUUUCCCACUAGUAAUAAUAAUACCACAUGGCAUUUGUUCCUUCA